rnacentral:rRNA from 1 species
UACGUAGGGGGCAAGCGUUAUCCGGAUUUACUGGGUGUAAAGGGUGCGUAGGCGGUUUAGUAAGUCAGAUGUGAAAGCCCGAGGCUUAACUUCGGGAUUGCAUUUGAAACUACUAAACUAGAGUGCAGGAGAGGAAAGUGGAAUUCCUAGUGUAGCGGUGAAAUGCGUAGAUAUUAGGAGGAACACCAGUGGCGAAGGCGACUUUCUGGACUGUAACUGACGCUGAGGCACGAAAGCGUGGGGAGCGAACAGG